CUCUGAUUUAUUUCACCUAGCAUUAUAGACUCGAGGUUCGUCCAUUUUUCUACAAAUAGUUGAAGUUUAUUCUUCUUUAUGACUGAGUAGUAUUCCUUUAUGUAUAUAUAGCACAUUAUCUUUCUCCAUUAUCUUUCAUCCGGUGAUGGGCAUAUAGGCUGCUUCCAAAAUUUAGCUGUCAGUGAUUUAUUUUUUAAGAGUUUAUGAGUGCAUGGUAUUAAUUCCUUAAAUUUCUGGAAUCACCGCUAGUGAAAUCAUCCUGACCUGAGCAUAGAAUUGAUGUUGGAUGGGAAUCUUUCUGAGCUGAGACUUCAGGCAGAUCAAAGCCAUAGCCAUGAUUGACAACUAGAUUUCUGACCCAGAGAAUCUGCAGGCACUGCUACCCCUCCCGAGGCCCAGUUAGGAAUUGGAGCAGAAGCUCUACAGGAAGAGAACAGGAGAACCUUUCCUUGACUUGGUCUGCAGUCUUUGCUCACAUCACCGAGUAGAGGAUUUUUCUCCUCUAUGGAACACACUGUACAGGCUGAGUAUGAGACAUUUCCUCUGUGGCUGCUCAUGAAGUCAUUUUCCUCACAGAAAUACUGCAUUAAACUGUCUUUAUGUUUACAUGUAUGAGCCACCUUGAAGAGAUUUUUGUGUGCAUUGUGAGUUUAAACUUCAGC
rnacentral:lncRNA from 1 species